GAUGAACGCUGGCGGCGUGCCUAAUACAUGCAAGUCGAGCGAACAGACGAGGAGCUUGCUCCUCUGACGUUAGCGGCGGACGGGUGAGUAACACGUGGAUAACCUACCUAUAAGACUGGGAUAACUUCGGGAAACCGGAGCUAAUACCGGAUAAUAUAUUGAACCGCAUGGUUCAAUAGUGAAAGACGGUUUUGCUGUCACUUAUAGAUGGAUCCGCGCCGCAUUAGCUAGUUGGUAAGGUAACGGCUUACCAAGGCGACGAUGCGUAGCCGACCUGAGAGGGUGAUCGGCCACACUGGAACUGGGACACGGUCCAGACUCCUACGGGAGGCAGCAGUAGGGUAUCUUCCGCAAUGGGCGGAAGCCUGACGGAGCAACGCCGCGUGAGUGAUGAAGGUCUUCGGAUCGUAAAACUCUGUUAUUAGGGAAAAACAAAUUUGGAAGUUACUAUGCCCGUCUUGACGGUACCUAAUCAAAAAGCCCCGGCUAACUACGUG
rnacentral:rRNA from 1 species